UACGUAGGGGGGCAAGCGUUGUCCGGAAUUAUUGGGCGUAAAGAGCGCGUAGGCGGUCCGAUAAGUCGGCUGUGAAAGUCAGGGGCUCAACCCUUGGAAGCCGGCCGAUACUGUCGGACUAGAGUCCGGAAGAGGCGAGUGGAAUUCCCGGUGUAGCGGUGAAAUGCGCAGAUAUCGGGAGGAACACCAAUGGCGAAGGCAGCUCACUGGGACGGUAUUGACGCUGAGACGCGAAAGCGUGGGGAGCAAACAGGG
rnacentral:rRNA from 1 species